rnacentral:lncRNA from 1 species
UCGCUGACCACAACAGCCCGGGCAAGGCGGGACCUCUGCACUUAGACGGGUUUCAGGGCUAAAGAGAUGUCGCUGGAAUUAAGGGAAUUUGCAGCAAUUGCAGAGGACCCGGGUUCGGUUCCCAGCACCCACACGGUGACUCACAACCAUCUGGGACUCCAGUUCCAGGGCAUCCGACAACACCUCCUUCUGACCUCCACAGGAACCAGGAAUUUGCAUGUAUGUCCCUCCUGUCUUCCUGAAAUGGACCAGAAACUGCUUAAAGGUAUUCUAUUCAUCUUCGCGUCCCCUCCACCUAGGACAGUGCCCAGCACCUGGGGGACCUGGAAGGCACACGAAGUGCAACCUGACCACUGAACAAUACCGGGACAAGUGGCACCCAUCUUCCAGCAAAGCAGGUCCAUGCCCGCAGCUUGGGAAGGCUACAGAUGUUCUCCAGCGGUCUCUAGAACAGAACCAAGCGCCCUCCUGUCUUUCACAAUCUCUUCGGGGGGGGGGGGGGAAUAGUAAUUUUCCUCACCAUGAGGCCAGAAUAGAAAAACAAGACUAUAUAGAACAUGCCUAUGAGAGAAAGAGUAGGCCAAAAACAGUAUGUUCACUUCUCCUGUAUGCUUCCCCCACCACCACCACCAACCCAGGACCUCGGUUUCUUUUGCCUGUGUAGGGGGGGAGAAGGAGAGGCAAGUCAAACCUAGUUUGGCCCUUGCCCUUUGACCCUUGCCAGACCAAAGUCCCUCAUAGGCAGGAGGUCCAAAAAAAAAAAAAAAAACCUUCCCUGAGGCUGAUUACCAAGAAGGGAACUAGGUACUGGGAGCACGUGUGAGCAGAGAGCCUCGUUUCCAAUUCAGGACUGUCAGGCGGUGAUUAAUGACUAACAGCCAUGGAGCGGCCUUGAUUGCCAAGUGCCGUAUUGUUAAGCCUGACAUUUAAUGAGGCCGGACACAACUCCAGCACAAUUCCACACCGUCAUCUGCAAAUAGUGCUCGACGGACUUAAUUGGUUAAGUAUUUGUGUGUGUGUGUGUGUGUGUGUGUGUGUGUGUGUGUGUGUGUGUGUGUGUGUAUUCGUGUACAUGUGGGGUAUGCAAGCUGUCCAAGGGUGAAUUUGCCUUCAGUGGGCAGCGUUGAUCUCUAUUUCAGUGUACAGGGCUGGGUUAUCACUGUGAGGGUUGGUAUGAGGGCCACAGCAUUGACUCUGCCCACCUACACACUCUAACCUCUGCCCCUCAUGUGAUAAAACCUGCCUACCCAACAGCAUCAGUGACCGGCUGUGGGCUCCUCCCCACCGCUCUCCCUGCCAGUGUCUCUGAGGGGGCAGCUGGGAGCUGGCAUGUUUGUGAAGUUAAAAGACAUGAAAGGAGGUUGAAAGAAGAAGUUGUCUUGAAGUGGGCCAGGAUCCAGGGCUCCCGAGUAGCUACUUUUCACUGGACACAGAUCAAUGGCGCCUUGGCCUGCCUCUCUGGGCGGCUCCUCCUUUGCCAAAAGAAAACUCUGUCACACACACACCCAUUCCGGAACUGGGGACUCUCUUGGGAGAUGGACUGAAUCCAUAUGAUUGUUCUAGAAACAACAACAUCCCAGGCAAUCAGAGCUGAGAGAUGGGCCUGGUAGAGAUUCUUUGGGCCAAUUGAGCAAGGUGACAUGGGGCUUCGGAGAGAACACGUUGGCUCCGAAGGGCAGAUCAAUUCCGGGAACCAACGCCUACAGAGUACCGCCUCUCCCUCCAGUCUCGUGUCUUACAAGGACAGAUGGAAGGGAAUGGCAUGCAGGGAGCUAGCCAUCUAGCUGUGGGGGGAUAGCAGAUGGACAUGUGGGACAGCCCAGACAAUGAGUGCUAAGGAGAACAUGACGGGAAAGAUGGUAAGUGCCAUAAGGAUGCUUAGAGAGGCCAGCAGCUAGGGCCGGGGAAAAUAAAAAACAGGCAUACCAGGACGGGAAAGGUGGAGGCACUAGGGAGCUCUGAGAAGGCUGUCAUCCUAGUGAUGAUGUAGGACAAUUAGUCCCCAUUCAUUGAUCCCAUUAGUUAAUCCCUGCUAGCUACCUUAAAGGCUUGUGCCCCAGCUAUAGAAAAACUGCAAUAUCCACUUGGCCAGGGAGCCUGUUGUAAUGCGGACUCUAGAGCCUGUUGUAAUACGGACUCUAGAAUACUAUGCUAGAUCCGCAAUUCCAUGCCUGUAAUUUCACGUCAGCCCCCUGAGUAAUGGUGUGUACAUUGUCGAUCGGAGAACUUCUCAGAGCGCUAGCCAAGAAGCUAUAUGGAAAAGCAAGCGAGGUCCAAGAUGUGAUGCCUGGCAGUUCUGUGAUAGGGGCCCAUGUGUGUAUAUAUAUAUGUGUGUGUGUG